UGGCACAGUGGUAAAGCACUUGGCUGCUAACCAGAAGGUUGGUGGUUCAAACCCACC
rfam:Loxodonta africana unplaced genomic scaffold scaffold_12, whole genome shotgun sequence.